GCCAUAAAGAAAGUCCAUACAAUUUGUUUACUUAAUUAUGCUAAUUCUGCAAUCAUCUUCUUCCAACCUAAGUAUAUAAACAUCUGUUUCACGCUUCUAUCAACUAAACCUAAUUUUUCUCAUAUCUUUGAAACUAAACUUAGCCGCCAUUCUUCCUAAUCAUUAUGAGAUAAUACUCUUUAUCAUUCCAUUCCAAAUCGUCUCAAGCCGCGUCGUUUUUGGAUCCGUUUCGUUCUAGUUGUACUAGACUCUCACCUCUACAAUUCCCAUCUUCGUUCUCGCCAAACGACCCGUCCACUGCUCGUGUUUCGGAGUCUACGCAGGGUUAGCUGGUUGCCAAAAAUCACGUGGAUAAGCAAGCAGUUUAUGAUUUGAAAGCUGGUCCACUCCGAUCCUUUUAUUCUUCGGAGGUUUAUUUUAUUUUAAAUAAAUUGUCAAACUGAUUUUUAUUCUUAGACCGCAGUAGUAAACUAGAAGUCCAUAUUAUAUUAGAUGUUUGUCAGAUUGGUCUG